rnacentral:antisense_RNA from 1 species
CUUGAGCGAGCCCAGCCACAGGGGCCGGUCCGCCGGCCGCUCCUGGCCGUAGGCCGCCAGCAGGGACUGCGCCUC